GAUUGGUGGCUCAGUGGUUAGAGCGCCCGUCUCAUGAACGGGAGGUCGUGGGUUCGAACCCCGGCCGAGUCA
rnacentral:tRNA from 1 species